GCUCACCCCUCUUCAGUGCUGCAGCCUGCGCCCCUGCAGUCGCAAUCACCGUUUCGAGUUUCCCUCCAAAGCUCACCUCGCUAAACCCCAGAGAAUGAAAGCUCCACCCCCAGGUAACAAGGCCGCCAGGCCGCCUCUGUGUCCCCGGGGCUCAGCCAGGCCGCAGAGACUGCCGAUCGCCUGGGGAACCGCUCAGAGAGCCCGUCCGCCAGGCGGAACGCACGCACCGCGGCCAGGACUCGCGCAAACUCAUCGAAAAUGCACCUUAAAAACGUGGUAUGCGUGGGACACAUAUAAGAUGGCCACAGAACAGAAAAACCAAGACCCGGGACACGGCAGGGCCUCGCCCAAGGUCACCCGGCCAGUGAGAGGCACAGCUUCGAUUAGAACGUGGACCUUCGGAUCCUCCGUCCUGUGAUUUCUCUGUACCUGUCAUCGCCCCUGUGACAUGAGCAACCUGCCUCGCCACCUCCUCGCGUGACCUUGAGGAUGACCUCUGCGCUGCGACUCAGUUUCCCCCCCCCGCAGAUGAUAUCAAGUCUUGGGCCGAGGAAUUUCAACUCUCUGAAAGCAGAAAGGAUACCAAGUAGUUUUCUUGUGGGCGAAGGCCAGACCACAUACGCAGGCUCAGGGACCAGAGCAGGUUCUUCUGUCCCUUCCAGUGUCACCUGUAUCCGUCUCCUGUGGCUGCUGCCACAGACGGCCACACACCCGGUGGCUUAAAACCGCAGACACCUGCCCUGGCUGGGGUGGCUCAGUUGGUUGGAGCGUCACCCCAUACACCCAAAGGUCACGGGUUUGAUUCCUGGUCAGGGCACAUA